GAAGUAAAAGUCGUAACAAGGUCUCCGUUGGUGAACCAGCGGAGGGAUCAUUUACUGAGUUACCGCUCUAUAACCCUUUGUGAACAUACCUACAACUGUUGCUUCGGCGGGUAGGCCGUCCCCUGAAAAGGACGCCUCCCGGCCCGGACCGGACCCCCCGCGGGACCGGACCCGGCGCCCGCCGGAGGAUAACCAAACUCUAUUGUAACGACGUUUCUUCUGAGUGGCAUAAGCAAAAUAAUCAAAACUUUUAACAACGGAUCUCUUGGUUCUGGCAUCGAUGAAGAACGCAGCGAAAUGCGAUAAGUAAUGUGAAUUGCAGAAUUCAGUGAAUCAUCGAAUCUUUGAACGCACAUUGCGCCCGCCAGCAUUCUGGCGGGCAUGCCUGUUCGAGCGUCAUUUCAACCCUCAAGCUCUGCUUGGUGUUGGGGCUCUACGGUCGACGUAGGCCCUCAAAGGUAGUGGCGGACCCUCCCGGAGCCUCCCUUUGCGUAGUAACAUUUCGUCUCGCACUGGGAUCCGGAGGGACUCUUGCCGUAAAAACCCCCCAAUUUUUCCAAAGGUUGACCUCGGAUCAGGUAGGAAUACCCGCUGAACUUAAGCAUAUC
rnacentral:rRNA from 1 species